rnacentral:tRNA from 1 species
ACAGUGGUGGUUCAGUGGCAGAAUUCUCCCCUUUCAUGUGGGAGACCCAGGUUCAAUUCCUGGCCAGUGCA